rnacentral:rRNA from 1 species
GAUAAACGCUGGCGGCGUGCCUAAUACAUGCAAGUCGAGCGAACAGACGAGGAGCUUGCUCCUCUGACGUUAGCGGCGGACGGGUGAGUAACACGUGGAUAACCUACCUAUAAGACUGGGUUAACUUCGGGAAACCGGAGCUAAUACCGGAUAAUAUAUUGAACCGCAUGGUUCAAUAGUGAAAGACGGUUUUGCUGUCACUUAUAGAUGGAUCCGCGCCGCAUUAGCUAGUUGGUAAGGUAACGGCUUACCAAGGCGACGAUGCGUAGCCGACCUGAGAGGGUGAUCGGCCACACUGGAACUGAGACACGGUCCAGACUCCUACGGGAGGCAGCAGUAGGGAAUCUUCCGCAAUGGGCGAAAGCCUGACGGAGCAACGCCGCGUGAGUGAUGAAGGUCUUCGGAUCGUAAAACUCUGUUAUUAGGGAAGAACAAAUGUGUAAGUAACUAUGCACGUCUUGACGGUACCUAAUCAGAAAGCCACGGCUAACUACGUG